rnacentral:rRNA from 1 species
UCUUAGUGGCGGACGGGUGAGUAACGCGUGGGUAACCUGCCUUAUACAGGGGGAUAACACUUAGAAAUAGGUGCUAAUACCGCAUAAGCGCACGGGGCUGCAUGGCCCAGUGUGAAAAACUCCGGUGGUAUAAGAUGGACCCGCGUCUGAUUAGCUUGUUGGCGGGGUAACGGCCCACCAAGGCGACGAUCAGUAGCCGGCCUGAGAGGGUGGACGACCACAUUGGGACUGAGACACGGCCCAAACUCCUACGGAAGGCAGCAG